GACGAACGCUGGCGGCGUGCCUAAUACAUGCAAGUCGAGCGGACUGAAUGGGAGCUUGCUCUUGUUCGGUCAGCGGCGGACGGGUGAGUAACACGUGGGCAACCUGCCCGCAAGACCGGGAUAACUCCGGGAAACCGGAGCUAAUACCGGAUAACACCGAAGACCGCAUGGUCUUUGGUUGAAAGGCGGCGCAAGCUGCCACUUGCGGAUGGGCCCGCGGCGCAUUAGUUAGUUGGUGAGGUAACGGCCCACCAAGGCGACGAUGCGUAGCCGGCCUGAGAGGGUGACCGGCCACACUGGGACUGAGACACGGCCCAGACUCCUACGGGAGGCAGCAGUAGGGAAUCUUCCGCAAGGGGCGAAAGCCUGACGGAGCGACGCCGCGUGAGCGAAGAAGGCCUUCGGGUCGUAAAGCUCUGUUGUGAGGGACGAAGGAGCGCCGUUUGAAGAAGGCGGCGCGGUGACGGUACCUCACGAGGAAGCCCCGGCUAACUACGUG
rnacentral:rRNA from 1 species